CCCGUUUUGUCUGCUUCCUCUGAUUUAUUUUCUGUUCUGUGUGCAUGCAAGUUUGCGCCUGUACAUACAAAUGAGCGAGCAUUAUUGUUUCAUGCAAAGCAAAUUAUUGUAUCAUGCAAAGUAAAGAAAUAGCAGCGCGUACGUGUACAUGUCCUCCAUGAUGAGGACACACGGGCGAGUUGCGACGGCUACAACUUCCUUUUUUUUUUUGAGGGCACUUCUUUGUGUUGUUUAGAGAGAUUGAACAGGUGUGGCCGUGUAGGGUAGUAGGUGAACAAGGAAAGAGAAUAAACAUUUCUUGAUAAAAAAAUAUAGAGUUGAUUUUUUUUGAGAGAGCAAUAUAGAGUUGAUGAACACCACUCAGUUUGAGAUACAGAGGAAACAGAGAGCACAAGCCGGGCCAGUGUGAAGUUCUUUCUGAAUCUCGUGGGCCUCUUUUGCAUGGGCUUAUAGAAACAAGGCCAACGCGUCAAGAAAAAACGUGGCCCGGUGUGGCUG
rnacentral:lncRNA from 1 species